AUUGAACGCUGGCGGAAUGCUUUACACAUGCAAGUCGAACGGAUUAUUCACUGUAGCAAUACAGUGGGUAGUUAGUGGCGUAAGGGUGCGUAACACGUGGGCAACCUGCCCGGAAGAGUGGGAUAGCUCGCCGAAAGGCGAAUUAAUACCGAAUGUGGCUAGGGGAGACAUCUCCCUGAGGCCAAAGUUGGUGUAAACGCUAACGCUUCUGGAUGGGCCCGCGGCCGAUCAGCUAGUUGGUGAGGUAACGGCUUACCAAGGCGAUGACGGGUAGCUGGUCUGAGAGGACGACCAGCCACACUGGAACUGAGACACGGUCCAGACACCUACGGGUGGCAGCAGUCGAGAAUUUUUCUCAAUGGGGGAAACCCUGAAGGAGCGACGCCGCGUGGAGGAUGAAGGUCUUCGGAUUGUAAACUCCUGUCAUUGGUGAACAAGACUAUCGGGUAACUACCGUUUAGUUUGAUAGUAGCCGAAGAGGAAGAGACGGCUAACUCUGUGCCAGCAGCCGCCGUAAUAC
rnacentral:rRNA from 1 species